rfam:Alligator mississippiensis ScZkoYb_4, whole genome shotgun sequence.
GAAAGCAGUAGUGUCUAUGGCUGUACCACCCUGAACACAUCUGAUCUCAAAAGUUAAGCAGCAUUGGGCCUAGUUAGUACUUCAUACUUGGGUGGGAGGUUACCUGGGAAUCCUGGAUGCACUGUUUUCU